rnacentral:rRNA from 1 species
UGCCUGUAAGACUGGGAUAACUUCGGGAAACCGGAGCUAAUACCGGAUAAUAUAAGGAACCUCCUGGUUCUUUAUUGAAAGAUGGUUUCGGCUAUCACUUACAGAUGGGCCCGCGGCGCAUUAGCUAGUUGGUGAGGUAAUGGCUCACCAAGGCGACGAUGCGUAGCCGACCUGAGAGGGUGAUCGGCCACACUGGGACUGAGACACGGCCCAGACUCCUACGGGAGGCAGCAGUGGUCAU